UACGUAGGGUGCGAGCGUUAAUCGGAAUACUGGGCGUAAAGCGUGCGCAGGCGGUUCGUUGUGUCGGCGGUGAAAGCCCCGGGCUCAACCUGGGAAUGGCCGUUGAAACUGGCGAACUGGAGUGUGGCAGAGGGGGGGGUGGAAUUCCGCGUGUAGCAGUGAAAUGCGUAGAGAUGCGGAGGAACACCGAUGGCGAAGGCAGCCCCCUGGGCUAACACUGACGCUCAGGCACGAAAGCGUGGGGAGCAAACAGG
rnacentral:rRNA from 1 species